GUGGUACAAUAAAGUCUCCUCAGAGGACGCCGCGAUGCAUAUUUUACUAAAAAUAUUCCUGCGAGUAAAAGACGAGCUGCACAGUUGUGAUGCCGGCAUGCAUCUCUUACUUCGUGCAGCAAGUGAUACUACUGCAGCGAGUAUUUGUGUUUCUCAUUGUAAAUUCGGUAUAUCGCGUUAUAAUUCAUUGAAUUUAGUGUUAAUUUUGUGUUUAGUCACCCGCUACAUAAUUUUCGCGUGUGUAAACUUCGGAAUUCGAUAUUUUGUGUGUUUAUUACAUUUACGCGUGUAUUUGUGAUCGGUUGCCGUCGCACGCCGGCUGGUCUCGUUGUGUGAUUGUAAAUAAUAUUGUAGUUAAUUUUGGUCUUGUGCGAACCAUUUCUAUCUUAAACAGAACUCGUCGAAUCAAUGUGCUACCUGUAUUUACUCGCAUUUGAUUUCGGGUGUUCGAUACACUGUAUUUGCCAUGCCUUGGAGUCCAUGAGUUUUGCAUUGCAAUUGCCUUCGAGUUCCGAUGCCUGACUUACGAGCUAAGUUUGAAUUCGAAUUUCAUUCGCUUCGUCGUUCGACUCCCGUUUAAAAUAAAAUAAAUAUUGACACUCCUUCCCGCAUUUCCGCUUAACAAUGUUAUUUAUUUCACAGAUUUUAUCACCUUCAACAAUAGUUCUGAGUGUUGCAACGAGUGAAAUACUGGUAUGUGUUGUUGGAUGAAGCAUUGGCUAAUUCUGAGAUGACCAUGUUUAUCAAUAGGGACCAACUGGAGAGGUUCCGUG